rnacentral:rRNA from 1 species
ACAUGCAAGUCGAACGAAGUAGCAAUACUUAGUGGCGAACGGGUGAGUAUAAUGUGGGUAUCUGCCCUUUGGUUUGGAAUAACACGAGGAAACUUGUGCUAAUACUGGAUAAGCCUUAACAGGGAAAGCUUUAGCGCCAAAGGAUGAGCCCGCACUUGAUUAGCUAGUUGGUAAGGUAAAAGCUUACCAAGGCUACGAUCAAUAGCUGAUCUGAGAGGAUGAUCAGCCACAUUGGGACUGAGACACGGCCCAAACUCCUACGGGAGGCAGCAGUGGGGAAUCUUGCACAAUGGGGGAAACCCUGAUGCAGCGAUGCCGCGUGAGUGAAGAAGGCCCUUGGGUUGUAAAGCUCUUUCGUCGGGGAAGAAAAUGACUGUACCCGAAUAAGAAGGUCCGGCUAACUUCGUGCCAGCAGCCGCGGUAAUACGAAGGGACCUAGCGUAGUUCGGAAUUACUGGGCUUAAAGAGCACGUAGGUGGUUAGAAAAGUUGGUGGUGAAAUCCCAAGGCUUAACCUUGGAACUGCCAUCAAAACUUUUUAACUAGAGUAUGAUAGAGGUAAGUGGAAUUUCUAGUGUAGAGGUGAAAUUCGUAGAUAUUAGAAAGAACACCAAUUGCGAAGGCAACUUUCUGGAUCAUUACUGACACUGAGGUGCGAAAGCAUGGGUAGCGAAGAGGAUUAGAUACCCUCGUAGUCCAUGCUGUAAACGAUGUGUGCUAGACGUUGGAAAUUUAUUUUUUCAGUGUCGCAGCAAAAGCGUUAAGCACACCGCCUGGGGAGUACG